rnacentral:lncRNA from 1 species
CUCCUCUUUCCUACCUCCAUAAUAACCAGUUAAUCAGUUUAUGCCAGAAUCACCAUGCCCAAAGAACUUCAACUUCUUAUUAAUAAAAGCCUUAACUUCAUAAGUAAUCACUGAUCCAAUAACUUUGUUAUAAUUGAUAAUAAUAAUAAGUUAAUUAUUUGUUGAUGAUUAGCACAAUUACUCCACACUCAAUCAAUUCAAGAUAGAAUAUCGCAAAUAUUAAACAUAACUCAGUAAAUAAAUUUGAACUCAAGUUACCUUUGCAAGUGGUGCACUUUUGAUGUGUAUAUAUUGGCCCUAUCCAAAUUUAUCAUCACUAAAUGAUUUAUUUUGUAAGACAUACCUUCAUCAUCUGCGUGCUUUGUUGUUGCAUUUUCAUGACCACAUACAACUCAGUUACCUAAUACAAUAACAACAUAUUCAGUAUGGUCCACAAGUGGAGUUUGAUGAGAGUUAAAUGUGCGCAAACCUUACUGCUAUCUUGCCAAGUAGAGAAGUUGUUUUUGAAAGACCCUCAGCUCAAGGAGAACAAAAACACAAGAUUUAAGAAAACAUAAGCAACAGCAAGACGGUAAGAAAGUAGAGGCUCUAAAUCCAAACCUGCAAAACAAAAAUACCAAAAUCAGCAGUAGUAUAUGCAUAUGCUAUUAACUAUUGAAAUCUUUAAAGUGUUCGAGCUUUUUCUUAUUUUCCUUUUAGAAAAGUCUCAAUGCUAUGUCUUUUUCUCCACUAAAAACUACAGUAUACACCUUCUACACAUUUUUACAUACUCCAAAAUUAUCAGAUCUAGGAGCGGUUGAACAGUAACAUAUAUGCUUUAAGUUAGACAUGAAAUAUAUUCUCUGAGUAAAGAAUCUCACUCAACACUAUGUUACCAGAGCCAACAGAUCUCUUGUACCCAUUCUACCCAUUGAGAUAGUAGAAUGGCUGUUAAAACUUUUACAGACUUUAAAUCUCCUUUAUUUUACCUGCUUUUCUUCUUAUUAUUAUCCUUUCCAAUAUGCUUAGUUGGCUCUAUUAUACCACCUUUCACUCCACUGCAUUGCGUAGAAUCAUAC